rnacentral:rRNA from 1 species
AAUCCAGUUGAUCCUGCUGGCGGCUGCGGCUCUCUGGUUUGCACUUAGACAUGCAAGUUUUUUUGUUAGUUCUUCGGAAUUAGUAAAAAGCAAACUGCUCAGUAACACGUAGCUAACCUACCCUUAGGUCAAGGAUAAGCUUGGGAAACUAAGUCUAAUACUUGAUAGGAGAUUUACCCUGGAAAGAUUAAUCUCUCAAACUCGUGCCCAAGGAUGGGGCUGCGGCGGAUUAGCUUGUUGGCGGGGUAAUGGCCCACCAAGGCAAUGAUCCGUAAGGGCUCUUAACGGAGAGGCCCUGAGAGGGAAUCUGAGAUACUAUUCCCAGCCCUACGGGGUGCAGCAGUUAGGAAUAAUCUACAAUGCGCGCAAGCGUGAUAGUUUGAGCCAGAGUGCUUUCCAAUUGGAAAGCUUUUGUGGAAUGUAAAAAGUUUUACGAAUAAGGACUGGGUAAGACUAGUGCCAGCCGCCGCGGUAAUACUAGCGGUCCAAGUCGCAGCCAUUUUUAUUGGGUCUAAAACAUCCGUAGCUUGCUCUAUAAGCCUCUUGUGAAAUCUUGUGUCUCAAACACAAGGCGUGCAGGAGGUACUGUAAAGCUAGAGACUGGGAGACGUAAGAAGUACGUUCAAAGUAGCGGUAAAAUGUUUUAAUCUUGAACGGACUAACAAUAGCGAAGGCAUCUUACGAGAACAGUUCUGACAGUCAGGGAUGAAGGCUAGGGGCGCAAAACAGAUUAGAUACCUGUGUAGUCCUAGCAGUAAACUCUGCACACUAAACAUCAGUUCCUCCUCGAGAGGCAUUGGUGCUGAAGGGAAGCCGGAGAGUGUGCUACCUGGGAAGUAUAGUCGCAAGGCCGAAACUUAAAGGAAUAGGCGGGGAGACACUACAACGGGUGACGCGUGCGGUUUAAUUUAAUUAUACACAGAGAACCUCACCAGGACCGACAGCAGAAUGAAGGUCAGUCUGAAGGGCUUACCUGACACGCUGAGAGGAGUUGCAUGGCCGACGUCAGCCUGUGUCGUGAGAUGACCUGUUAAAUCAGGUAACAGGCAAAACCCACAUGUAUAUUUACUAAUGAACUAUAUACAGAUUGCCUUGGUAACAAGGAUGAAAGUGUGGGCUACGUUAGGUCUGUAUAGCCCGACAGCCCUGGGCAACACGCGCGCGUCAAUGGUGAAUACAACGAGAUGCAACACCGAAAGGUGAAGCCAAUCUCUUAAAGUUCAUCUCAGUCCAGAUUGAGGUUUGUAACUCAGCCUCAUGACGCUGGAAUCCGUAGUAAUCGUUUGUUAGCAACGAACGGUGAAUACGUCACUGUCUCUUGCACUCACUGCCCGUCAAACCAACCAAGUUUAGUUAUGGUGAAACUUUUCGAAGGAAAACCUUGACUAGAUGAGGUAGGUUAAGUCGUCACAAGGUAUCUGUAGGGGAACCUGCAGAUGGAUCACCUCCU